AUGGGGGUGUAAGAUGGGAAAGCCAGAGAGAAGCAUUGCUUUUAAGGCUUCCACUUUGGGUGUCACCUUUUGAGCCCCACAGACACACGAUCCAGCCACCUCUUCACAUGGAUCCCCGAGGCUCCUGUCACAGCCUUCUAGGAGAUACCGGAUUUGGGGACUCCCUUCCCCAUUGCUCUCAUCCACAAGAAGGGACACUGAAGUGGAACCAAUCUCUGUUCUCACCCCUAAAGCCUACUUACUCUUCUUCCUAAAUUGCCUGCAUCCUCACUUCUGUCUGUUUUAGUUACUUUUCUGUGACUGGAAUAAGACACUGUGACCAACAGGCUCACAGUUUCAGAGGGGAGCAUUGCACAUCCAAAGCCAGCAUCCUUCAUCAUGGGAAAAUGCCCUGCUAUGUAUGGGUACUCCAUGGCUUUAUGAAAGUGGCCCCAGGAUAUGCAGAAUCCUUUCAACCUGCAGACUCCAGGAGUCAUCAUCAUCAUGGAAGGACCGUGAUCACUUUUACAGAAGCUCUGGGAAACCUAGGAGGUCUGGCCUGGCUGCAUUAGAUGUGUCUCCCCUGGGCUCUUUCAGGGAAAGGUGUUCAUAUGUACAGCUUUAUUCCUUUCCCCAACUUGGUAUUAACAGACUGAAAAAAAAAUGGUAACUUUUGGCUCUGUGCAUGAAGACUUUCCACCCCAAACAACUAAGAGUUUACA